rnacentral:lncRNA from 1 species
GAAAUGUUAAUACAGUACAUAUAAUCAAUAUAACAUAAUACAUAUAGUAUUCAAUUUAGUAUUUGCGAAAAGCCAAUCAUAAAAUAUGCAUUUUUCACACUUGUGGAUAUAAAAUUUGCUUAAAGACUACUUGUGGGUGAUGACAUUUUCUUUUCCAGCUGGCACAGCUUGUGCCAGGAACUGAGACCAGGAACACCCAGGGGUGGUUCAAGGGCAGGCAGCUUCACCCUGUGCCACGCCAACCCCCAGCACUCCUUUCUCCUCGCCAGGAGGGCAGCAUGGCCACAACAGCUGCACAAAACCCUGGUGCCAACACUGGCCAGAUUUUCAUCUCUUGCUGCAGAAGAGACAAAAAACCCCUCAGGAGGUAAUGGGUGAGCCACCACAGGCUGUGGUCAUAAAGACUUUUGGAGGACUGGAUGAGACCUGUGAGGAGAUGCGUGAAGCCGAGCGGCGCCGCACUGAGGCUGAGUUUGAACGGCUGCGCCGGCUGCUGGCAGAGCCGGAGCGCACCGUGCUGGGCGGCUGGCUGAGCCGGACCGCAUCUUCCUAACUACCCACGCCGAAAAAUCAUUGUGGGUGGCCGAGGGGGUUGCACAACCUCACAGACUCAUCGGGUAGCUAGAGGCCAGGUGCUUGCCCCAGGUGAGUGCUGUUCUUACCGGAAAGCUGUCCCAAAGUGCUGCCUAUGGAUUCUUGAAUUCCCUUUUUUCUCCCUUUUUUCCUUUUAGGAUGUUGGGAGCAUCAUAAGCAGGUAUGUGGCAACUGGUUGCUUGAUGUCCCUAUCACUCCAGCUGCGGAGAGGUGCUUGGCUGCUACAUCCAUCACAGAAUCCCGUCCCUGUAAUUUCUUUUCCCAGUUUGAGUGAAAUGAGGCUCCACCUCCCCUCGGGGCUCCCCAAGGAGCUGGAGAAGAGCCUGAGCUCCUGCUGCCACCAAAGCGAUGCUCUGUGGGAGGCCCUGGAGAAGUUCAGAGGGAGAAGGGAGCAGGCGAGCGAAGGGCAUCGGGAUACACGGGUCCCGGGUCUCGGGUACGGAGUGGCGGAUCGGUCCCGCGGCCUAAACUUGAUUUGAGAACAGCACAUCUGGCUCUCCCCCGCCGCUGGAAGCGGCUGCCGCGGCUCUGGCUGCCGUCACUCGGCUGUCCCCACACGAUAAGCAGCGCGGUAAGCGGCGACUCCCCGCGGGACCGCGCCUGUUCCGUCCCGCGGCGCAGCUCUCAGUGGCCAUCCCCUGCUGCGGCUCUUUAAUUCUAUUUAUUUUAUUCUGCUCUAUACGUUCCAUUCACAUCUCGCCCCCCUGUCGGUGCAGCCCUUUUGGCG